rnacentral:rRNA from 1 species
AGUGAACGCUGGCGGUAGGCCUAACACAUGCAAGUCGAACGGCAGCACAGUAAGAGCUUGCUCUUACGGGUGGCGAGUGGCGGACGGGUGAGGAAUACAUCGGAAUCUACUUUUUCGUGGGGGAUAACGUAGGGAAACUUACGCUAAUACCGCAUACGACCUACGGGUGAAAGCAGGGGAUCUUCGGACCUUGCGCGAUUGAAUGAGCCGAUGUCGGAUUAGCUAGUUGGCGGGGUAAAGGCCCACCAAGGCGACGAUCCGUAGCUGGUCUGAGAGGAUGAACAGCCAAACUGGAACUGAGACACGGUCCAGACUCCUACGGGAGGCAGCAGUGGGGAAUAUUGGACAAUGGGCGCAAGCCUGAUCCAGCCAUACCGCGUGGGUGAAGAAGGCCUUCGGGUUGUAAAGCCCUUUUGUUGGGAAAGAAAAGCAGCAGGUUAAUACCCCGCUGUUCUGACGGUACCCAAAGAAUAAGCACCGGCUAACUUCGUG